GUAGCUCAGUGGUAGAGUGCUUGCCUUGCAUGCAUAAGGCCCUGGGUUCGAUUCCUCAGC
rfam:Dipodomys ordii contig_54510, whole genome shotgun sequence.